ensembl:snRNA U6 U6 spliceosomal RNA
GAGUUUGCCUUAGCAGCACAAAUACUAUAAUUGGAACAGUACGAUGAAGAUGGACAUGACCCCUGAUCAAGGAAAACAUGCAAAUUUGUGAACUAUUUCCAUUCAUU